GAAGCAGCCAGCUUGCUGGAAGCGGAAGAGGGAAAGGCUUAGUGGCGGACGGGUGAGUAACGCGUGGGUAACCUGGCCCAUACAGGGGGAUAACACUUAGAAAUAGGUGCUAAUACCGCAUAACAACAGAAAGCGCAUGCUUUUUGUUUGAAAACCAAGGUGGUAUGGGAUGGACCCGCGUCUGAUUAGCUGGUUGGCGGGGUAAAGGCCCACCAAGGCGACGAUCAGUAGCCGGCCUGAGAGGGUGGACGGCCACAUUGGGACUGAGACACGGCCCAAACUCCUACGGGAGGCAGCAGUGGGGAAUAUUGCACAAUGGGGGAAACCCUGAUGCAGCGACGCCGCGUGAGUGAAGAAGUAAUUCGUUAUGUAAAGCUCUAUCAGCAGGGAAGAAAAUGACGGUACCUGAGUAAGAAGCCCCGGCUAACUACGUGCCAGCAGCCGCGGUAAUACGUAGGGGGCAAGCGUUAUCCGGAUUUACUGGGUGUAAAGGGAGCGUAGACGGCAGUGCAAGUCUGGAGUGAAAGGCGGGGGCUCAACCCCCGGACUGCUCUGGAAACUGUACGGCUGGAGUGCAGGAGAGGUAAGUGGAAUUCCUAGUGUAGCGGUGAAAUGCGUAGAUAUUAGGAGGAACACCAGUGGCGAAGGCGGCUUACUGGACUGUAACUGACGUUGAGGCUCGAAAGCGUGGGGAGCAAACAGGAUU
rnacentral:rRNA from 1 species